CCCCCGAUGGUCUAGUUGGAUAUGGCGUUCGGCUGUAAUAGUUACUCCCAUUGUAACCGAAAGGUCGCCGGCUCGAUUCCGGCUCGGGGGA
rfam:Aspergillus lentulus DNA, contig: Alt16, strain: IFM 54703.